AGUCAUAUGCUUGUCUCAAAGAUUAAGCCAUGCAUGUGUAAGUACAAGCCGAUUUAAGGCGAAACCGCGAAUGGCUCAUUAAAUCAGCUAUGUUUCAUUGGAUCUGUAAACCCACUUACUUGGAUAACUGUGGCAAUUCUAGAGCUAAUACAUGCAAUUGGUCUCUGACCGCAAGGGAAGAGCGCUUUUAUUAGUUCAAAACUGGUCGGGCCCCGGUCCGUAACCCACCUGUGGUGAAUCUGAAUAACUUCGGGCUGAGCGCACGGUCUCCGCACCGGCGCCGCUUCUUUCAAGUGUCUGCCUUAUCAGCUUUCGAUUGUAGGUUAUGCGCCUACAAUGGCUAUAACGGGUAACGGGGAAUCAGGGUUCGAUUCCGGAGAGGGAGCCUGAGAAACGGCUACCACAUCUAAGGAAGGCAGCAGGCACGCAAAUUACCCACUCCCGGCACGGGGAGGUAGUGACGAAAAAUAACGAUGUGAGUCUCAUCCGAGGCCUCGCAAUCGGAAUGAGUACACUUUAAAUCCUUUAACGAGUAUCCAUUGGAGGGCAAGUCUGGUGCCAGCAGCCGCGGUAAUUCCAGCUCCAAUAGCGUAUAUUAAAGUUGUUGCGGUUAAAAAGCUCGUAGUUGGAUCUCAGUUCCGGACUGACGGUGCACCGCCCGGUGUUUACUGUCACGCUCCGAACAGCCGCCCCGCCGGCUCGCACGGGAUGCUCUUUGUCG
rnacentral:rRNA from 1 species